AUUGAACGCUGGCGGCAUGCCUUACACAUGCAAGUCGAACGGCAGCACGGGAGCAAUCCUGGUGGCGAGUGGCGAACGGGUGAGUAAAGUAUCGGAACGUGCCCAGUCGUGGGGGAUGACGUAGCGAAAGUUACGCUAAUACCGAAUACGAUCUAUGGAUGAAAGCGGGGGAUCGCAAGACCUCGCGCGAUUGGAGCGGCCGAUAGCAGAUUAGGUAGUUGGUGGGGUAAAGGCUCACCAAGCCGACGAUCUGGAGCUGGUCUGAGAGGACGACCAGCCACACUGGGACUGAGACACGGCCCAGACUCCUACGGGAGGCAGCAGUGGGGAAUUUUGGACAAUGGGCGAAAGCCUGAUCCAGCCAUGCCGCGUGCAGGAUGAAGGCCUUCGGGUUGUAAACUGCUUUUGUACGGAACGAAAAGGUUUGGCCUAAUAAGCUGAGCUCAUGACGGUACCGUAAGAAUAAGCACCGGCUAACUACGUGCCAGCCGCCGCAGUAA
rnacentral:rRNA from 1 species